UGAUGAAAAUGUGGAAUGAUGGUGUUGUUGAUGGUGAUGGUGGAGGUAUUAAAAAAUUGUGACACCAAAAUAACUAAUAAGGAAGGUUAACCACACACCAAUCAUCGGCUGUGCAUUGCCAUUCAUCAUCAUCAUCAUCAUCAUCGUCAUCAUUUGUU
rnacentral:pre_miRNA from 1 species